rnacentral:misc_RNA from 1 species
GAUGAAGAACGUAGCGAAACGCGAUAGUUAAUGUGAAUUGCAGAAUUCAGUGAAUCAUCGAGUCUUUGAACGCACAUUGCGCCCCCUGGUAUUCCGGGGGGCAUGCCUGUCCGAGCGUCAUUGCUGCCCUCAAGCACGGCUUGUGUGUUGGGCUCCGUCCCCCCGGGGACGGGCCCGAAAGGCAGCGGCGGCACCGAGUCCGGUCCUCGAGCGUAUGGGGCUUUGUCACCCGCUCUGUAGGCCCGGCCGGCGCCAGCCGACAACCCAUCAUCCUUUUCAGGUUGACCUCGGAUCAGGUAGGGAUACCCGCUGAACUUAAGCAUAUCAAUAAGCGGAGGA